AUGGCAGCACCUGUCUGAGUAAUGGCGUUGGGGCAUGAGUCGCGGAUGCGCCUCUAGCCAAAUAUUAAAGGAAGGAAGGAAGGAAGGAAUCAGAGAGGUUAGGAGAGGAUAUCACUUUGCAUCUGUACAAUGCGAGGCUUCUCCAGGAAGCGACCACCAGGUGCCGGCCGCCCCGAAUCAACCCCACGAGGAAGAGCGGAGAGGACGUCACUUCCUGCACCCGUGUAUAUCGGUCGCACUCAGAGAGAGGGAAGGAGCAGAUAGGCACAAGUUAGCAGUUGCAGAGUCUUCGCUGAACAGAUUUCCCAGUAGAUCGGGAGCAGCCGCACGUUGGAUAUUCGCGACCACGUCACCCCCGCAGUGCAGAGCAAAAGAACAAACCAAGUAUCACGGUCCUGCUGGUUUCUUGGCCAAGCCAGCUGCGCACAAACACACUCACGAAAUUUUGCUCACCACUAACCUCAUCGCUAACUGGUGGAUAGUGCUGCACAGCAACAACAGUUUUCCUUUCUACUAACAACUAGUACUAACAAAAGCUGUCAUCUGAAAAAAAGCGUCGACCAGAAGCAACUGUGCAGACUCAACUUCUCCCAACACUCCAAUAUACAGCACAUGUCAUACUAUGUGGUAUAACUUUGGAGGUUAGAAGAGUAAGUAUGUAGCAGCAAAAAUUAUAAAUACAAAUGCAACCAAUCUUGCAGACAGCUGCAGAAGGCAGCUAUCCACUCACUAUUAGUCUGCACAGCCACGACUUGAAGAUAACCAGAGGAAGAGAAAAUUUGCUCUUGACAAGCAGCGCUGUAACUUGCCACUGACUCACUAUAGAAAGCUGUCAUACAGGCAAACUGACAAAAAGUACAUGAUGUGCUGUACUGCUGUCACCAUUGAGGAGCUGUCAUCUAUCAAAGGCUUAUUUUAGAGAAACUGUCAGUUACUGAUAUUUUGGAUUUAAAUGAAAAAGAGGUCGAUAUUUUUCAAGAUUUACCACUUAAAACUCAAACAAAACGAAGCAGUAGAAACAAAGUUAAUUAACGCCUCAACAUAUAGAAGAUGUAGGAGCUAAGACAAACACAUCACAAAAAGGGAAAGUUGAUUUAUUACAAGCGGAUGAACUUUAUGAUAAUAAUAAUCCUUUGCAAUUUAGAUCUCAGGAAGUUAAUAUGCAAAGUAACAGUACAAAAUUAUUUAACUUUUUAUUAAUAAUAGAAAGAGGAUAAAUAUAUAUGUUGCAGCAAAACUUGCGGGUGGGUAUGCAACAACCUUUGCAGAUAGCUGCAGAAGGCAGCUAUCCACUCAAACUACUGGUCUGCACAGCCAUGACUUGAAGACCACCAGAGGAAAAGAGAAAUGUGAGUCUGUAAGACAGCGUUGACAACUGCUGUUGACUCACUGCAGAGAGCUAUUAUAAGACACUAUUUCACUCUAAUAAUGGCUAAUAUCUUGGCUCAGUGAGUCAAGAUGCAUUCAACAUAACUAAUUCUCUUGUGUGCAGUGCAGGCAAACUAGCCGGAUGUGAUUAUAAAAUCAUAUUUCAAAUAAAAUUACGAAAGUUUUGCAAUAAAUUAAAUGCAGCUAUUAUGGCUGGUUUAUAGCAGAUCAAUACCAAGAUUUGUGGCAACAUAAAUGUUUUGAAGGAUAUGAUGAGACGGUUGAUGUCCUAAGAAUUGAUGAGAAUUCUGUAGUCACUAUUGUACAAAACAAUGAAACUCAAAGUGCAGAGGCAUCACCAUCUUAGUAUUUUGAUACUGACUUUGAUGAAAAUCUCAUAAUGGCAGUUAUGGAAAGGCCAUUAUUAUACAACUAUAAAUUAAACAUAAAAGAAAGAUCAACGUUGAAAAAAUCAGCAUGGGAAGAAAUUCAAAAACAUAAUUGGUGGUAAUAAGAGCAUCAAAGAUUUACAAAAAAGAUGGAAAUACCAUCGUGACUGUUACAUUAGAGCUAGAAGAAAAGUAAAAGAAUAUGUGCCAAGUGGAUCUGCCGCAUCUUCUGCAAACUUUAAAUGUAGCUAUAGAUUCUAUGAAUUAAUGAGACUAUUGGAUAACGUACUUGAAAUAAAAUCAACAGUUAAUAUAUUGUCAAAUAAAGAUGAAGGAUCUUAAAAAAAAAAAAACUCUCUUUUAUAUCCACAGAUCAAAAUUCUGAACCAAGUUUUGCUACGCUCAAUAUAGGGAAUACUGGAACAAAUUACUCACAGAUUGAUUCGUCUAACGUAUCUUCACAAAUACCAACUCCGAAUGAAAUACUUGCAUCUGAAACCGUGACUUCGAAAUCCAUUAGAAAAUACAAAUCGUACAAUUGUUCAUUAGAAUUCGAAGCGGCUGUACUAAAUAUUUUGAAGACGCCAAUUCCAGAGACGGAUGCUGUAGACGGUUUUUUAAAGACUUUGGGAGAAGCUUUGCCUUAUCAGAAGAGAAUUAGGAUGGAAAUAAAAUUCCUUCGAAUGAUUAUAUAAGCUGAAUCAGAAGAAACAGAGUAACAUGUAUUGACUUUAUUUUUAUUAUCUUAUAAUAUGGUACAUUAUUUACACUAUUGCAAUAUAUGGUAAUUAUUUAUACUAUUGUAAUAUGAUUACCAAAAAUUAGUACCUGAAAGUAUUACUAUUAUUUUUGAAAGUAUUAAAUAAGCUAUUAUAUUGACUAAACUUAUAAUUGAUACUUAAGUGAGUAGAUACACUUUAUCGUAAGAUGAGUUUUGUUUAAAACUAUUUUGUGUGUUAUCUCAUAAUCUAAGUUACCUAAUAGUCUAGUUAUUUUAUCAUAAAACAUUAUAGUAUUAUUUACACUGUUGCAAUAUUAUAUAAAGAAAAGUAGUAUUAUUAAGUUUAUUAUUAUUGAAAGUAUUAUUAUUAAGUUUUGAAACUAUUAAAUAAUUCAGUAAAUACUAAGCAACACUUAUAUAACUAUAUAAUUAUAUCUAUAUAACAUCUGUAAUAAUUUUCCAUUCAACAAUAUAAAUGCAAUGUAGGACAUAUAUAAAAAUGUUAUGUAACAUUUAUAUUGUUGAAUAGGAAAUUAUCACGUUAUUAUGUAACCGUUGCUCGGUAUUUACUAAAAAGUUAUUAUACUGUUUACUUGUAAAUAAUACUAAGCGUCCACAGACUAUACAUUUUAUAGCAUAAUAAUUUUAUUUAAAAUAGUAUUCUAUAAAGUUAGAUUCUAUGAAGAUUCUAAAAAGUUGUCUUCAUAUAUAAAAUGUUAAACAUGUUGAAACGAUAAUAAAAGUUUAUUAUUAUAACUUA